rnacentral:rRNA from 1 species
GGAGGAAAAGAAACCAACCGGGAUUGCCUUAGUAACGGCGAGUGAAGCGGCAAAAGCUCAAAUUUGAAAUCUGGUACCUUCGGUGCCCGAGUUGUAAUUUGGAGAGGGCAACUUUGGGGCCGUUCCUUGUCUAUGUUCCUUGGAACAGGACGUCAUAGAGGGUGAGAAUCCCGUGUGGCGAGGAGUGCGGUUCUUUGUAAAGUGCCUUCGAAGAGUCGAGUUGUUUGGGAAUGCAGCUCUAAGUGGGUGGUAAAUUCCAUCUAAAGCUAAAUAUUGGCGAGAGACCGAUAGCGAACAAGUACAGUGAUGGAAAGAUGAAAAGAACUUUGAAAAGAGAGUGAAAAAGUACGUGAAAUUGUUGAAAGGGAAGGGCAUUUGAUCAGACAUGGUGUUUUGUGCCCUCUGCUCCUUGUGGGUAGGGGAAUCUCGCAUUUCACUGGGCCAGCAUCAGUUUUGGUGGCAGGAUAAAUCCAUAGGAAUGUAGCUUGCCUCGGUAAGUAUUAUAGCCUGUGGGAAUACUGCCAGCUGGGACUGAGGACUGCGACGUAAGUCAAGGAUGCUGGCAUAAUGGUUAUAUGCCGCCCGUCUUGAA